AUGAACGCUGGCGGCGUGGAUAAGGCAUGCGAAGUCGGACGAUUUCCUUUUUUGAAGAAGAUGCGAUUACAUCAAGUCAACUGAUAUUUUGGAGAUAGUGGCGAACGAGCUAGUAACACCUUGGUACGUACCCAAAAGUUUGGUAUAGCUCGCCGAAAGGCGGGGUAAUCCCAAAUAAUCCCUCUAUCUAUCGGAUAGAAGGGUAAAGUCGCAAGACGCUUUUGGAGCGGCCUAGGACCGAUCAGUUAGUUGGUGAGGUAAUGGCUCACCAAGACGAUGACCGGUAGGGG
rnacentral:rRNA from 1 species